AUUGAACGCUGGCGGCAUGCUUUACACAUGCAAGUCGAGCGGGAACAGGCCUUCGGGUGCUUAGGAGUGGCGAACGUGUUUGUAAUGCAUCGGAACGUAGCCAGGGGUGGGUGAUAACGCAGCUAAAGCUGGGUUAAUACCGCAAGUGACCGGUGGUAGAAAACGGGGGACCGGCCAGCCAUGUUUGGCCGCUCGCCUUUGGAGCGGCCUAUGUCGGAUUAGCGAGUGGGUGGGCUGAAGGCCUAACAAGGCGACGAUCCGUAGCUGGUCUGAGAGCACGACCAGCCAGACUAGCACUGAGAAACGCCCCCCACUUCUACGCUAGGACACAGUGGGGACUUCUAGAGGAUGCGGGCAAGCCGGAUCCAGCACUGCCGCGUGCGGGAAGAAGGCCUUCGGGUUGUAAACCGAUUUUGCCAGGAACGAAACGGUGUCCGCUAAUACCGGGCGCUAAUGACGGUACCUGCAGAAUAAGCACCGGCUAACUACGUG
rnacentral:rRNA from 1 species